CCGAUCCCAAACCCGAGCUUCCUCCUCACUUCCCCGAUCUCCCCUUCUUCCUUCUCUGCUCUCUCUCUCGCGGACGAAUCGGAGGCGACGGGAGUGGAGCUUCUCCUUUGGCGAUCCUUCCUCUGCCGGCAUCGACACCACAAGCUCAGAUCCGGUCGGUGGUUCUCCUCUCCAGACUGUAAUCGGCCGAGGAGUUGCUGUUCGGCGGAUCUUGCGGCUGAUCACCGAAGGGGCUGCGGCUAGGGCACGGUGAAGGACCAGAUCUCGCGUCGACCCCCAUCCAAUCGUCCACCGAAGCUUGGAGAGGUGCCCUAGUUCGGAUUUGUGCCACUCGAUUCGCCGGCGUGGGUCUUGGAUUCCCUUCCUUGUUGAUUGUUGAUUUGAGGAUCAGAGGAAUCUUCGAUACUCCGCUUCACGGAUUGGAUCGGGUGACAUUUUCUAGAGACGAUCAAUUGAGGAAGCAUUGGGCUGCUGUGGAUCAAUGAUUUAGGUCACGGGAUUGAUUUCCAGUGAGGUUCUUACUUGAUUCCAGCAUCCAGUAGCUGAGAUUGAGGAUUCUGAUUCGAGACAGGCGUCUCGACGUUGACUUCGGAUUUGGGAUUGUACCUUCUAUUUGAGGCGGGUACCCUUUGACUUAUCUUGUUGAUAUUUUCUUGUGAUAUGUGCAGUUUAUAUAUGUUUACUAGUAAUUGGUAGAUCUUUCUCUUCUCUGGUUAUAGUAUUCUAUACCUGUAGGCGAUUAUUAGCGAUUGGUAGUUAGCAUAUUCCCUGGUUUAGUUAUUUGAUACUUGAUACAUGUUGCUACGAUUAGCAUCUAUACCUUAGUCUAGCAUGUUUUUCUUUCUUGCUAUGCUUAUCUGUGUUCAUAGAGAUGCAUAUCUAUAGUG